rnacentral:rRNA from 1 species
GGGCGUUAAGUUGCAGGGUAUAGACCCGAAACCCGGUGAUCUAGCCAUGGGCAGGUUGAAGGUUGGGUAACACUAACUGGAGGACCGAACCGACUAAUGUUGAAAAAUUAGCGGAUGACCUGUGGCUGGGGGUGAAAGGCCAAUCAAACCGGGAGAUAGCUGGUUCUCCCCGAAAGCUAUUUAGGUAGCGCCUCGUGAAUUCAUCUCCGGGGGUAGAGCACUGUUUCGGCUAGGGGGCCAUCCCGGCUUACCAACCCGAUGCAAACUGCGAAUACCGGAGAAUGUUAUCACGGGAGACACACGGCGGGUGCUAACGUCCGUCGUGAAGAGGGAAACAACCCAGACCGCCAGCUAAGGUCCCAAAGUCAUGGUUAAGUGGGAAACGAUGUGGGAAGGCCCAGACAGCCAGGAUGUUGGCUUAGAAGCAGCCAUCAUUUAAAGAAAGCGUAAUAGCUCACUGGUCGAGUCGGCCUGCGCGGAAGAUGUAACGGGGCUAAA